GGCAAUUCCCUUAUUACAUAGCAUUUUAACUCGGUUGUCUUCUCCACAUAGGCAAACAUAAGAAAGAAGUUUGUAUUUAAGAUAUCCUAGUAGUCCGAGACUUCCUGGAUGUGUUUUCUGAAGAACUACCCGGAUUGCCAGUGGACAAAAAAGUUGAGUUCACCAUACAUCUUCAGCUUGACACCCAGCCUAUCUCAGU
rnacentral:lncRNA from 1 species